AAUAUCAGAUCAGUUAUACAGUCGGCUUCAUCUGCUCUAUGUUGACAUAUGGAGAGUGUGAACACACAGUCGAGUGGUUGUAUGAGGGUAAUAAGAAUAACAUGGUGACAUCACAAGGUUCCUGUUUAGCCACUGUGGCUUUUACAGCUCCUCCUCUUAGCCAGAAGUCAAACUAUUCUGAGUUACUGAAGUGUAACGUGACAGAUAAUAUGAGUGGACAGAUGCUGCUGUGUAGCGUUGACCUCCAGUCCUCAUGUGAGAAAACAGGAAGCACAUUAGAGGGGAGAAACAAAACACCAUCUGGAAAUGAUGAAACAAAACAAGAAUCGUUCUGGAGGUUCAUCAUUGUGUCUGUGGGUUUAGCAGCACUCAUAAUAAUUG